CGGGAGGCAUGGGCCAUGUCUCUUUUGUCUCUCUAUGUCCCUGUUGCCUAACACAGGGCCACACACACAUUAGAUCGUCAGUAAAUACUGCUAAGUGAACCAAUGAGAGAAUGAAUGGAUGAGCCGUCUGUAUCUGUCUCAAGCACAGCAGCCUCCAUGCUGCAUCCAAACACACACACACACACACAACAAAUAAAACAAGUUCAGAGUGCAAUUCCAACUCCUACCAUGUGCGAAUAGGAGUUGCCAUUCUAUUAUUGCAUUUUUUAAAAUAUGCCUGUUUGAGACAUAUUUUAAAAUGAUUUCACCACCCAAAAUAUGUGUUAUACUCCACAAUUUAAAACACUCUUUGGUUUUCUGGUACCUUUUCUGCAAAUGCUGGAGCAGAACUUCCCGGGUCGACAUCUCAGCUCUGCCAGUCAUUGCUGGUGUUACAUCAGACAAGUUUCUUUACCUCUCUGUGCUCAGUUUUCUCAGAUUUGAUGGGUGUAAUAUUGGUACCUACCUCAUAGGACUAAGUGACCUACUACACAUGAAGCAUUAGGCAUAGGAGACCAUUGGGAGGUCUAAAUAGAAGAUUGACAUGAUCCCACAAAGGUGAGCAAGGAAGACAACAUUCUUAUGGAAGAGAUAUCAUGUGGCGGUAUGGGGGUUAAGACAACGACGGAGCAGCCCUGGAUCAUGGAAGAGAAGCAGGCAUCUAGCCUGAGGAAUCAAACCUACCCCAGGGAGACAAAAAUAAAUUGUGAAAAUUCUGCUUACUUUUUUAUUUAACUAGUAGACUAAUUUUUAGAGUUUUAGGUUUAUAGAAAAUGUAAGGGAAAGUACAGAGUUCCCAACCCCCCUCACCCUCACCCCACCCAUAGUUUCCUUUAUUGUUAAUGUCUUGCUUUAGUGGGGUACACUGGUUACAACUGCUGAGCUAAUACUGACACACUCUUACUAAUUAAGGUCCAUAGGCUGCUGUAGUACUCAUUUUGUCUUGGACGUUCUAUAGGUUUUGACAAUCAUGUAUCCACCAUUACAAUACCAUAUGGUAUAGCUUCACUGUCCUAAAAGUCCUCUGUGCUCCUCCACUCAUUCCCACACUACCUCAACCCCUGAGCUUUUCACUAACUCAUAGUUGACGUUUUCUAGAAUGUCAUAUGUAGCUGGAAUCUUGCAGUAUGUCGCCUUUUCAGAUUGGCUUCUUCCACUUAGAAAUACCUACUUACUUUUUAUUGAUUGAUUGAUACUAGGGAUUGAAUCCAAAGGUGCUUAACAACUGAGCCACAUUUUAUUUUGAGACAGGGUCUCACUAAGUUGCUUAGGACCUCCUCGCUAAGAUGCUGAGGCUGGCCUUGAACAUGUGAUCCUCCUGCCUCAGCCUCCCAAGCCACUGGGAUUACAGGCUUUUACUACCAUCCCCAGCUCUACUUACCUUUUAAACCUUCUGUGAAUGCAGAAUCCAUUCAUAAUAAAGGAACAAAGAACUUCAAAAUGUAUUUUCAGCAUUAUUUAGGGCUUUGAGCAGCCAGUAGAAAUAACCCAGUCCCUUCACAAAAAAACUACUUAAUAAAUAUUUCUUGAACAGAUGAAUAAAUGAAUCCACAGCUUUAUGAGUACAAUAUUAGCAGAUGAUCAAUAUGUAUUUAUUGAACUGAACUAUAUUCCCACCAUCUUGAUUGCACUUAGGGAGUUCCCAGUUCUCCUUCUCCAUUCAUGUAAGAGAAACAGAUAGAUCUCAUGGGAAGUGUUUUAAAAAUACUAUUUCAAGUCAAGCUUAUCAAUAAUUUGUUGAUAUUUAUUAAUAUUCCUGCUUUAUAGAGGAAGAAACAGGUUCAGAGAUGUUAAGGAACCUGCCCAAGGUCACCCAGCAGGCAAAGUGAACAAACUCAAAUGGAAACCUUAUCUUCAGGUUCUUGGAAAACUCUGAUGAGUCCACCAGGAUUUGUUGUUUAGUCUUCCAUGGAGCUGAACGUGGUCCAGUACUGAACGCUGCCCAUGAUGACAUCAAACAGACAUCCUGUGUGACUAAAGUCAGGUCACCUGCUCACUGGUCUCCAAAUGCCUUGCCCAUUUCUAUUUUCUACUCUGAGGAAUUCCCCCAAAGGGUGGAGUUUUGUCGUUUUGUUUUUUGUCGCGACCCCUCGCCGGCAAGGGAAAACACGACAC
rnacentral:lncRNA from 1 species